UAGUCCACGCCCUAAACGAUGAAUGUUAGUCGUCGGGUAGCUAGUCUAUUCGGUGAUGCAGCUAACGCAUUAAACAUUCCGCCUGGGGAGUACGGUCGCAAGAUUAAAACUCAAAGGAAUAGACGGGGACCCGCACAAGUGGUGGAGCAUGUGGUUUAAUUCGAAGAUACGCGAAGAACCUUACCUAGCCUUGACAUAUUUUAGAACACUUUAGAGAUAGAGUGGUGCCUUCGGGAGCUAAUAUACAGGUGCUGCACGGCUGUCGUCAGCUCGUGUCGUGAGAUGUUGGGUUAAGUCCCGCAACGAGCGCAACCCCUGUCAUCUGUUGCCAGCAUUUAGUUGGGGACUCAGAUGAUACUGCCGGUGACAAACCGGGAGGAAGGUGGGGGACGACGUCAAGUCAUCAUGGCCCUUAUGUCCUGGGGCUACACACGUGCUACAAUGGGCAGGGUACAGAGCGCUGCGAGACCGCGAGGGUUGAGGCAAAUC
rnacentral:rRNA from 1 species